rnacentral:rRNA from 1 species
GACGAACGCUGGCGGCGUGCUUAACACAUGCAAGUCGAGCGGUAAGGCCCUUUCGGGGGUACGACGAGCGGCGAACGGGUGAGUAACACGUGGGUGACCUGCCCUCAGCUCUGGGAUAAGCCUGGGAAACCGGGUCUAAUACCGGAUAUGACUCCAUGACGCAUGUUGUGGGGUGGAAAGCCUUGUGCGGCUGAGGAUGGGCCCGCGGCCUAUCAGCUUGUUGGUGGGGUGAUGGCCUACCAAGGCGACGACGGGUAGCCGGCCUGAGAGGGCGACCGGCCACACUGGGACUGAGACACGGCCCAGACUCCUACGGGAGGCAGCAGUGGGGAAUCUUGCGCAAUGGGCGAAAGCCUGACGCAGCGACGCCGCGUGAGGGAUGACGGCCUGGUGUAA